CUUUCAACAACGGAUCUCUUGGUUCUGGCAUCGAUGAAGAACGCAGCGAAAUGCGAUAAGUAAUGUGAAUCGCAGAAUUCAGUGAAUCAUCGAAUCUUUGAACGCACAUUGCGCCCCUUGGCAUUCCGAGGGGCAUACCUGUUCGAGCGUC
rnacentral:rRNA from 1 species